rnacentral:rRNA from 1 species
CACGUAGGGUGCGAGCGUUGUCCGGAAUCAUUGGGCGUAAAGGGCGCGUAGGUGGCCCGGUCAGUUCGUGGUGAAAGCGCGGGGCUCAACUCCGCGUCGGCCAUGAAUACUGCUGGGCUUGAGCACUGUAGAGGCAGGCGGAAUUCCUGGUGUAGCGGUGAAAUGCGCAGAUAUCAGGAAGAACACCCGUGGCGAAGGCGGUUCUCUGGGACGGUACUGACGCUGAGACGCGAAAGCGUGGGGAGCGAACAGG